GGCAGGUGGUCGUGUUGCGCUGUGUGCUGUCUCGUGUGUGUUUUAUGCCCGUGUCGUUCUGCCUGCGGUACAACAAAUUACAAGAGGACCCAUCAACAAGCCCCUCUAGCUGUUGUCAUCGCAUAUGCAGUAUUCGGAAUUCGUCUGCAGUGAAGUCGUCAUGUCAACACAGAGACCCUCGCGCUACCCGUGCUUAACGUCAGCUUCUGAAAAAAGGAUGUGUGUAUAUUGCUCGUGAUUGCGCAUAAGUGGUUCCUGCUCCUAGCAAUAUUCUUGCACAAAAGUUAGCAGCAAGCACCUACCCAAAAGCUCACGUCGGCCCCUGAAGGAAGCCGCAAAUGGUCUGUGUGUAAUUACCGAACGUGCAAUGGAAUUUGUGUUGUGAACGUUAAUCUUAACGCCAGCCUGGCUCGUCCGUCUCGGUGCGUGUGCUGUAAUUAUUCAUGCAAGCGCUCUCUGAAUAUUUAGAAAGCAUAAAAACUGACGCCACAUUUUUUUUAGGAGCUGCAGUCACUUGUGUACGUAGUAUCAUAUCAUUCUCACAGACAUCGACGUCGUCUAUUUUCUCGUCCUGUUUCUCGUGCUGUUAGUGUGCUGUGAAUCUGUCUCAAGAAGCUUAAGUCAAUAUUCUGCAGUACCUAGCGCAGCCGUGUAGCCCCACGGCGAACAUUAAAAUACCUUGUUAUGAGUACGUUUGUUUGUUUAAUUACAAAAUCGAACGUUAAAAUUUUGUAUUCAUAGUGGCAAGUGUAAAGUAAAAAGCUGUCGAAGCUAUCCGCUAAUAGCAUACAUGUGCUUCUACCUGCUUGAGCACAUUAUCUUGAACGUGGGGCUGAAAACUCCAAAUAACCAAAAACAUAUGCAACUGGAGCAGACACUAUGGUUCCUUUCCUGGAAAUGAAAGCCAGCAUCCCAGUCUGUUAAGCUAGUCAUGUACUUAACCUAUAUUAGACCAAUGUUAGAGCAUGCUAACUGGAGCCAUUUCAAAAUAGAUUAUUUGACCAAAAUAAGAAAGUUCAAGGAAAGCGUCAAGGUACAAUCUAAUCUUGUAUUCUUGAACCAAUUGUAUUAGCUAAACUUUAUGCCUCCCUGAAUUGCCUGCGUUAACCCAAUGCUGAAAACUGGGGAAGCUGAUUCUUGCUGUUGAAAAGCUGCUAGUUCUGAGGGACAAUAUCUCUGAGAGAAAGUGAAGGGCACUGACAUUAUCUCUAAUCUUUUGUGUGAGCUUUCACGUUGAACAAGAAUGGAAUAAAAAUAUUUACCUUUGCAAGCCUCAGAAUCCAAACAUUCUCAAAAUUUUGAGGCGCCACUAUAAAUUUUUGAGAUAUAGACGAUAAAAAGUGUGCCUAAGUACAAGUACACACUGAACACACUUGAGUGGUUGAGUGGCCAGCUGCGAAUGCAAAAGCGUCUAUAGCUGCUACCUUGAGGUAACUGCUAGGUUGCACGUGUGUUUCUCCUAUAGCCCAUGUACCUGGCAAGGGAAAUGGUUAUACGUAGUCCCAUUGCAGCAUUGGGCUGUGCUUUUUCUUUUUUUUCAAUAGGUGGUGGCUAGCUGAUUCCGUCUGUUUAUGUAUUUAUCAUUUGUGUGCAUCUUAUGUGCAUGUGUUUGUAUCAUGUUCUGAUUGUUAUACGUGCAGUGAUGCAAGCAUCAUUUUUUAAAUAUACUGCACCACAGUCAUUUAUUCAACUGUGUGUUGAAAUGUACAAAAUGUGGCCACACAGUGAUAGCCAGGACAGCCAGCAGGAUUGGCAAAAAAUAUGAUGCAGAUCCACUGCACUUGCUUGAAUCGACAUGAGGCGAAGCUUUCACGCAACGGUCAGUUAAACUCUAGAAAACUAACUGCAGUGUGUACAGUUGUCCUUAUUUCACCCGAUGCAACACAUACUCAUAUGCAAUGUUUGCUUAUUCACCGCACAGGUCACCUAAUGUAUACAUAGCACGGUGAACUUACUAAAAGGUCGACUCACUAAGACUUCGAACUAACCAUGAGUCUGAGUUAGUGUGAGCCUGGCUGAGUAGAAUUUUGGUGAAUACAUGUAAGAGCAAGCUCGGUUGAGUAAACUUUUAGUGAAUAUUGUCAUGUGGUAGUCAGGGCAAGCUCAUCUGAGUGUAAUUUUAGUGAAUAUGAGUCAAAGCAAGCUCGGCAGGUAGAUUUUUGCUGAAUAUGACUCAGUGCAAGCUCGCCUGAGUAAAAUUUUGAUGAAUAUAAGUCAGAACAAGCUCAGUUGAGUAGAAUUUUGGUCAAUAUGAGUCGGAGCAAGCUCGGCUAAGUAGAGUUUUGGUGAAUAUGACUCGGUGCAAGCUUGCCUGAGCAAAAUCUUUAUGAAUAUUAGUCAGAUCAAGCUUGGCCGAGUAUAAUUUUGGUGAAUAUGACUCUGAGCAAGCUCGACUGAGUAAUGAUGGGAUAUGGUUAUACGAGUUUAUGCAGUAAUACAUGUAAGUGCAGACUCAUUAGCAACAUUGCCUCCAUCUAGAUGGGCAAUACGUAUGCCUCGUUAUGAGUCUGCACACUUUACGAGCUGUAGACAUGCAAGAACCACCCACACUUGAAAAGAUGCUAUCAUUCACAGUAAGGAAUGCAACGGGCUGACUUCACUGCACAAUUUUGAUCUGAUUUUGUUUAAUGAGUUAUCUACCCCUUAUGAAAACAAGGUGUUUGGCUGCUUUUCGCAUUAUUGCAUGUGUUUUACAGGAAGUAGAGACAGAAGCAAGAAAAUCCAAGGAUGUUUAUGGCGAAGUAGUUUGUUUGAGUACAGCGAUAUUUUACAACCAGUAUAAACAAACGUAAUUUGAUGCACUGAAGUAAGCGAAAUAUGCAAUUACCUGUUAAUGGGGGGGGGGGGGGUUAGGGUUAAUACAAAUGCAGUAAGGAUAUGAAGUCUGCAACAACUUGAAGGUUUAUUGGUUUUUGUGCAGGAGAAAAAUUGUACAUCAGAAAAAAUGAGGAAAAAAACUUUAAAUAUUGCUUCGAACACAAAUUGACAAUACUGUUUAUUCCCAGUCAAAGCGUUGAAUAUGCUAUUGUAGAACAUUCAUUAUGAUAUAUAGUUUGCAUGUUCGCUUUUUGAGCUUGAUAAGCAGUCGCGUCUCGCAGCGGGAGCAACAGAACCUUGAAUUGACAUAAUUCAUUGGGGAAAAUGCGCAUGAAAGCCCAAACCAACCAACUGCAACUAAAUGGUCGCAUGUAUAGCGUGACCUAUUGACCGUAGCAUCUGUCCUUAAUAGCAUAUUUAAAUUGUUCCGUUCGUAAAAGCAUACUGGCGCAAAAACUGGCAUUUUCGUAUAUCGCGAGUUGCCUCUACAACCAGAAAAUCGGGAUGACAUCCAAAGACCAUGCCUUCCCGUGAAGGACACCUCGUAGUAUUUACCAACUCGCAGCGCGUGUGAAUAACAGAAAAAUCACGCAAAAGUACGUACUAUCAGCACCCGAACCAAACCAAAAAAAAAGCGUCGCGUGAUUAGCAACGUAGCGGGUCAACAAAACGCAUAGAAAUCACAAAACCGAAUCUGACCUAUGAGUUUUUAUCUGCACUGUUCGCGUGUCAGUGCUGAUGUUACGUACCGAUUGCACAAUCCAAGGUUCCACUCAAUUAGUUGUACUGUUCGAGGCUUGUUGAGGCAAUGUUUAUAGACAAAAAAGUAUCUAUAAAUGUUGCGUUGAGUGACCGCCGCCAUUUUCCAAAACAGACCGUGAAAUAGCUUUCAGCGCAAUUUUGACGGAAAAUCGCAGCCAUUGCUGCGAUGGUGCGACCAACCGGUUGGUCGCAGCUGAAAAUUGCAGAAUCGGCCCUGCGCCUGUAAUUUUCGUUGCAUGCAAUGGAAAUCGCCCUUCCGGUGCGAUGAAAAUCGCACCAUGUGAAACAGCCUUAACGCAGCUGUUUCGGUGCCUUGCUCUUUGCAGUGACAAUGACAGGUGGCCGCGAACAAAACAGGUCUCUUACUGGAAACUGUUGAGUAAUAGGGAAUGUUUAAUAUUUUUCCUGCGAGCUUUGUCAUUCAUGUUAUGGGUAGCAUUCGAAAACAGGUAAAUGUAUGCAUUUCUCGCGGAUUUAGUUCACCCUGUGGUGAUUAAUUCACUGAAAGUGAUAGCGAGUAGAUCGUGUUGUUAGUAUUAGAAUUUUUUUUAAAUAUUCAGGUAUAAUGUCAUGCGGUGGGUAGUUUGCAGGUGCUUUAAACGUGCUCCAAACAUGUUAAUACAAUGUCAUUGACCUGUUUAUCGAGUUGGCGUGCACUUACGCUUUCCUGCUUUGCACUUCGUGCUGUUAUUGCAAAUUUUUCAUGCAUAUUUAAUAUUGUUUGAAAACAUGAGCUGUUAUGUUCAACCGUUCGAUGCUUGUGUUUCCAAAAGAAAAUUUGCAAGGAUGAUCUAAUGUUGUAUACAUGGUUUCAUGUCACCUGACCUGAACUUUGGACGGGUGUAUACCCAUGUAUAGACCAUUUUUUCAUGGGUGCCGCCAUUGCGUAGACAGUGGCGCCAUCUAUGGGGAGUUGGCAUGCUGGCUUUGGCGAACGCCUGUGUUUUAUGCUGUGGUAUACGCUCGGUGGCAGUUUCUGGUGGAUUUAUUCACUCUCCCGCGGUCUAUUUAGCAUGCAAUGGCAUCUAUGUGGAGAAUGGUCCUGUGAGGCCUAGUGAAGGAAUUUAAGUCUGAAGUAAUUAAGCGGCUGGAGUUUCUGCUGGCGUUAGGGCGGACAGAGACACCCAGCGCGAGGUGUGCGCAUUUGUUUGAGCUUACAAUCAGCCUUGGAUAUCAAUUGGGUAUAUCUGAAAAUUAGUUUCACAUAUGUUACCUUACUGCACCAUUUUCGGCGCUGUAAUUCUAAGCUCUGGUUUAGCUGCAAUGAGUAGUUGCAAAACAUUUGACGAUCCUAACGUGGGUACUGUUCUGCUGGCGAAUAAGUUGUGCUGUUUACUUUGACAAGCAUUCAAGUUGUUAUCUGUAGAUGCAUUGGACUGCCUUGUUUGUUGGGCAAGGUUUCCACCCACAAAUGAAAUAGUUUGGUUAAUAAGAACCGCUUACCUUACAGUGUGAAUUACACUUUUCAAGUGGUCGAACGACCAGCUGCAGACUGCGCGAGUGUCUGAGGCUGUACUAAAUACUGUGUUAUAGAUCUGUUUGUUCUAUAUAGCGCAUGGUCCAAGCAUACGGCACAACCAUCCAAAGUCUUAUUGCGUCGUUAUCCCUUGUUCUGUUUUAGUUUGCCGCAAAAGGAGGAUAUAUGAACUCUUCUUUUUUUCAGUCUCGUAAGUUCAGUCAUCUACGACGCAUUCACCCAUCUUACGGAAAUUGUGUCCUUACAAAUAGCUGUUGGAUUCUCUUUAUGCGAUCCCCUUUGUAUAUUGUGCCUUACAGGGCAAAAAGGCAAUGCCGAUCGAAGCAUGAAGCUUAUGUGUAUCAUGUUGGUUUGCCAGCCGCAGUACUCGCUGUGUUGAGCAAAGCCUUUGGCCUCUUGCAGGAGGCUAAUGUAGACAUAAGACAUAGUGAUUUGAAGUCUACUAGACUUAAAAUGAGUGAGAACGUUGCCGGUGGCUGAUGCAAAUGUUUUACAAGUCUUCAUCGAGUGAAAAUCGAUACAUCCAACAUAGUUCACAACACAUACACACACCGCGGCUGAUGAUGCGCGUCGCAUUUUUGCACAUCCAAGAGAAAUUUUCAGAUACUUUAGCUAUUGCUGCACCUAAAGGCUACACAGUGGUUGUUCGAUGACCUCGUUAGAACUGACAUUGCACUCAGAACUAGCUAAAACACCUCCAAAUCGUUCCGCAGCGAGCGUCCGGCAACACAUUCAAGCUGCGCCGCGCCGGCUCGCACAAGCCAGAGAGGAGGAAAGGCUCGUCGCGCGCCCUUUUCUCCUCAUCCGAUGAAAAGGUCUAUAGGAGUGAUUUUUGUUUUAUCAAGUGUGUGAUGUUGCAAAUUUAUACGAUGGUGUUGUCACAUUUUCUCUCUCGUGUGAUGUCUGUUCACUUCAAGUUUAGAGACUUAGUUUUGCAUUGUCUCAAAUAGCGAUUUACAGCUAGUUGCUGCGUUGAACCAUCGUGUUCUGCCAAUUGCAUGGUGUAACCUCUACCCAUAUUUUUUUUAACAUCAUUCUCGUUGACCGAUCUUACGGCAACUGUUUAUUAAGCUUCUUAUUCCUGUACAGAACUCCUGAUUUGGCGUACAAGAUCAAAACGAAGUAGAACAUUUUAUUCUCUGCUUAGUUUACGGAAUUUACCGGUAACUCUUAUUCAUGCCUAUAUGGAACUGUGGGCUACAAGUGGCAGCCAUUCCUGUCACUGCUUUUUGUCACUGCUAACCUAGCCUAACCUAGCUUGUUCUUUUCGCUGUUCCAAAUUUGUCACCGGAGGCUCUCGAUUGUGAGAGCAAGCAUACAUUAAGGUGCACCAAUGUUACAGACAUUACUAAUGAGUCUAUGGGAAUGCAUUGUAUUUGUGUCCCAGUUUCGCUAUGCCACGGCGCAGGACAUUGUCCUGCUGUUCCUGGGCACGGUCUUCGCAAUCCUCCAUGGUGCCGGCUGGCUACUGUUGGCUAUUGUGUUUGGUCAUAUGACGAAUGCCUUCAUCCACCAGCAGCAGGCGGUCUUCUAUGAUGGUGACAGCACAAAUUUCACCACGCUGCCGCCUCCUCAGACCUUUGGGGAAGCAAUACGGCGAAGUGGGGCGCAGUCCAUGUUUGACCCUGUAACCAUCCUGGAGUAUAACAUCACCAUGAACAAGUUUGCACUCACCUACGUCAUCAUUGCCGCUGGGUCUUCGUGUCUUCAUUUAUACAUGUGUGGUGUUGGACCAGAGCCUGUGAUCGUCAGCUGUACAGGCUGCGGCAAGAGCUGUUCUACUCGAGCCUACGACAGGAUGCAGCCUGGUUUGACAGGCACCGUGUCACUGAAGUUGCGUCAAGAAUGAGUGAUGACAUGGAGCGUCUGCAUGAGGGAAUGGGUGACAAAAUGGGCCUCUUCAUUCACUACCUGUCCACCUUUGCAUCUGGCUUUGCCACAGGGUUUGUUGAGAGCUGGGAGCUCACCCUGGUCAUCAUGUCAGUCACACCACUGCUUGCCUUUGCCACAGCAUUCCUGGACAAUAUGGUGUCCCAAUCAGCUGCCAAGGAGCAAGAAAAGUGUGCACAGGCAGAGGCAGUGGCCCUGGAAGUUCUAAGCAAGAUACGAACUGUGGCUGCCUUCUGUUUUCAAUAUGGCAAGCUGCAGCGGUACAUGACUGCUCUAGAAGCGGGCAAGACUGCUGCAAGGCGCAUGUAGCCAUGGCAUUUCGAUUCGGCCUGACAUUUGUGGUCCUUUACGAUGCCUAUGCACUUGCUUUUUGGGUUACCUUUGACUAAAAUGGCAUCUGCAAAGAACUCCUGUAAAAGAAAGAGGCGUGAUAGCGACUCGUACUCUGAACUUGGUGUGCAGCUAAAACAGUUCACCUCCCAUCUUUCUUUUAAGGACCACUCCUUCUUUUAUCCAAGAUACCCAGGCCACUUGGUAAGAGUCGU